rnacentral:rRNA from 1 species
UACGAAGGGGGCUAGCGUUGUUCGGAAUUACUGGGCGUAAAGCGCACGUAGGCGGAUAUUUAAGUCAGGGGUGAAAUCCCAGAGCUCAACUCUGGAACUGCCUUUGAUACUGGGUAUCUCGAGUAUGGAAGAGGUGAGUGGAAUUCCGAGUGUAGAGGUGAAAUUCGUAGAUAUUCGGAAGAACACCAGUGGCGAAGGCGACUUACUGGACACAUAUUGACGCUGAGGUGCGAAAGCGUGGGGAGCAAACAGG